AGAUGCUGCCACAUUAGAUAGCGGGGAGGUUGGGCCACCAGAUCUAGUGGCUCCGGCCUCCUCGCUGGCAGAUCUGACUGGUCGG
rnacentral:pre_miRNA from 1 species